ACUGUAGGUGAAAGACUUACAUCUCUUCGGAGCAUUUUACGAGGUGCUGCAUGGUUGUCGUCAGCUCGUGCCGUGAGGUGUCGGGUUAAGUCCCAUAACGAGCGCAACCCCUACCUUUAGUUGCCAUCAGGUAAUGCUGGGGACUCUAAAGGAACUGCCUACGCAAGUAGUGAGGAAGGCGGGGAUGACGUCAAAUCAGCACGGCCCUUACGUCCAGGGCUACACACGUGCUACAAUGGCCGAUACAGAGGGCAGCUACCUGGUGACAGGAUGCAAAUCUCCAAAGUCGGUCUCAGUUCGGAUCGGAGUCUGCAACCCGACUCCGUGAAGUUGGAUUCGCUAGUAAUCGCGCAUCAGCCAUGGCGCGGUGAAUACGUUCCCGGGCCUU
rnacentral:rRNA from 1 species